AUGAACGCUGGCGGCGUGCCUAAUACAUGCAAGUCGAGCGAACAGACGAGGAGCUUGCUCCUCUGACGUUAGCGGCGGACGGGUGAGUAACACGUGGAUAACCUACCUAUAAGACUGGGAUAACUUCGGGAAACCGGAGCUAAUACCGGAUAAUAUAUUGAACCGCAUGGUUCAAUAGUGAAAGACGGUUUUGCUGUCACUUAUAGAUGGAUCCGCGCCGCAUUAGCUAGUUGGUAAGGUAACGGCUUACCAAGGCAACGAUGCGUAGCCGACCUGAGAGGGUGAUCGGCCACACUGGAACUGAGACACGGUCCAGACUCCUACGGGAGACAGCAGUAGGGAAUCUUCCGCAAUGGGCGAAAGCCUGACGGAGCAACGCCGCGUGAGUGAUGAAGGUCUUCGGAUCGUAAAACUCUGUUAUUAGGGAAGAACAAAUGUGUAAGUAACUAUGCACGUCUUGACGGUACCUAAUCAGAAAGCCACGGCUAACUACGUG
rnacentral:rRNA from 1 species